AAGGCUUUAAGUUAAAGAAACUAAUAGCCUUCAAAGCUAUAAAUAUAAGUCUUAAUCUUUUAAGCCUUA
rnacentral:tRNA from 1 species